rnacentral:rRNA from 1 species
UACGGAGGGUGCAAGCGUUAUCCGGAUUCACUGGGUUUAAAGGGUGCGUAGGUGGGCAGGUAAGUCAGUGGUGAAAUCUCUGGGCUUAACCCGGAACUGCCGUUGAUACUAUCUGUCUUGAAUAUAGUGGAGGUGAGCGGAAUAUGUCAUGUAGCGGUGAAAUGCUUAGAUAUGACAUAGAACAUCGAUUGCGAAGGCAGCUCGCUACACUAUGAUUGACACUGAGGCACGAAAGCGUGGGAUCAAACAG